UACGGAGGGGGCUAGCGUUGUUCGGAAUUACUGGGCGUAAAGCGCACGUAGGCGGCUUUGUAAGUUAGAGGUGAAAGCCCGGGGCUCAACUCCGGAAUUGCCUUUAAGACUGCAUCGCUAGAAUUGUGGAGAGGUGAGUGGAAUUCCCGAGUGUAGAGGUGAAAUUCGUAGAUAUUCGGAAGAACACCAGUGGCGAAGGCGGGUCUCUGGGCCGAUACUGACGACUG
rnacentral:rRNA from 1 species